AUUGAACGCUGGCGGCAUGCCUUACACAUGCAAGUCGAACGGUAACGCGGGGCAACCUGGCGACGAGUGGCGAACGGGUGAGUAAUAUAUCGGAACGUGCCCAGUAGUGGGGGAUAGCCCGGCGAAAGCCGGAUUAAUACCGCAUACGACCUACGGGUGAAAGCGGGGGAUCGCAAGACCUCGCGCUAUUGGAGCGGCCGAUAUCAGAUUAGCUAGUUGGUGGGGGAAAAGCCUACCAAGGCGACGAUCUGUAGCUGGUCUGAGAGGACGACCAGCCACACUGGGACUGAGACACGGCCCAGACUCCUACGGGAGGCAGCAGUGGGGAAUUUUGGACAAUGGGCGCAAGCCUGAUCCAGCCAUGCCGCGUGUGGGAAGAAGGCCUUCGGGUUGUAAACCACUUUUGUCAGGGAAGAAACGGUCUGGUCUAAUAAACCGGACUAAUGACGGUACCUGAAGAAUAAGCACCGGCUAACUACGUGCCAGCCGCCGCGGUAA
rnacentral:rRNA from 1 species